rnacentral:antisense_RNA from 1 species
CUUGAGGGUGCCCAGCCAGAGGGGCCUGUCGUCGCCAUGCUCCUGACCGUACGUGGCCAGCAGCGCCUGGACCUC